UCUCCGCCGCAGCCGCCCGCUCCCGCGGGAUCCGGAUCUGGCACGGGUGUGGCUCGGAGGGAGGGGGCGCUGGCCGGCCGGCCAUGGCGCGGCGGCUCCAGCGCAUGGAGCAGAGCGACGACCGUCGUGUGCCCAGGACCUUGCCCAGCUGCACCUUGGACGCAAAGGAGGAGGCGCGACUCGCCGAGGUCGACGGUGAGGCGGCGGCGCGGGCGUGGGAGAGCGUGACGGCUGAGCUCAUCGACGUGCCGCGGGAGGCCAGGCGCAACGGCGUCAGGCUCCGCGCGCCCCGCCGCCGUCCCCCUCCCUCUCCUGCUCCCCGCCGCCGCCCUCUUUCUCCUCCUCCCCUUCUCCCUCUCCGCCUGCCUUAGUCGCCCCUCCCCGCCGCCGCUCCUCUUGCUCUCCGCUGCCCCUCCUGCUCUCCGCUCCUCCUCGUCUGGUCGUGCCGCAUCCUCUUCGUCUGCCUCACGCCUCUACGUGGCCGUCCCCUUCACCACUAUCCCUCGCCGGCGCGUCGUCAUGGAUGACUUCCACGAAAUCGGCAGAGGUGGGUUCGCCACGGCGUCCGCAGACGAUCGACAUCCAUAGCCAGUGCUCCGCACCCGCGAUUGGAAGCGUGAGCCCAACUGCCCAAGCGAUGGAGAUGCCUUGGCGACCCAGGGUAGCGGUGGAUCUCGCCGCCGCCGCCGCCAGCACACACCGUCCAGUCUCCCCAGGUAAGCCGCUCCCUUCUCCGCUCCAUUCCUGUCCCAAAUGAAGGGAAAACUCCACCCUCAUCCCCACAACCCCACCCCCGAUCUCUCCUGCCAAUGGUUGGGCUCGAUGGAUCGAGUGUCUUACGUAAUUUGAUUUGCUGAGCCUGCUGUGCAUGAACCCCAUUAGCGAGGAAUGGAGGCCGCCUCGUCGGUUACGAAGACAGUGAAAGGCGCUACCGGUGUUGCCAGCGGCAACGGCCGUCACAUCUGGCCCCAGCUAGAAGACUCGAAACAGCAUGGGAGAAAAGGAAAGCUAAAAACAAGUUAAAAUGUUCCUCCAAGAUGUUCAAUAUUUGUUUGUUUAGCUUCACUAGAAUGCUCUCAAUUUAGGAUCUAGCUGCUAGCUUGAAUAUUAUGUUGAAUUUAAACAUUCCUUGCCACGGGAUUAGGAAAAGGAAAAACCCAUCUCCAUUGUUUAUCCUAAAAAGGUAUAUCAUCUUAAUUUGUAUUAAUUAUGUACAUUGGUCAUUGCGUAAGUUUGUUUUCCAAACAGGCCAUCUACUGCUUGCAGAGGUUUUCUUUUGUUUUACUUCAGUAGAGUGUAAUUUUCAUUAUUUGAUAGACAAGGUAGAUUGAGUUUUGUUUGUUUGUGCUUGCUUACAUGCUCUUUGUAAAUCUGUGUCAUUAUUUAUCUUCUUGCACUUUUAUUCACCAUAUUUUUAUUUCCUAAAUCAAACCAAUCACAAUCAUUUGUUUAAUUCUUCCAUUCCUUUUUCUCUAUGUUACUUCUGUUACGGUGUUAUCCAAAGGGAGUUACCUUUACUGGUUGACAGGUUUUAUGGAAGAAGCCAUUGUAGAUCAACAUUUUUGUGAGGAUGAGAGAUGUACCUGGAAGCCCAGGUACCAUGCAGAGAUGUGCUUGCAUGACUACAAGGGCAAGUGGAAUGCCCAUUUGAUUGACAACCCGUGCUUCAUGAUUCAUAAUCUGAAAUGAAAUGGGCACUAUCUAUAUGUGAUUUCCUUUGCAUCAGUGGGGUUUAUAUUCUCAUCCUCCUUUCAAUUCAGUUGUCUUUGCUUGAACGAAAUUAACUAAUAGACAUAUCCUCUCUGAAUUUUCUCUGUGGGGCCAUCGCUCAAAGUUGACUAGGAUAGGACAUAACCCUAUGCUUCCUUAUUUUCCAAACUUGUGGAUAGUACUAGCAUGGUGUUUAGGCCAUCUGUGCAAAGUGUAUUCAGAGUUGAGAAUUUUCUUGAAUUAGUUGUUAGGUCAGCAACACAUAAAAUGGAUAGGCCGCACAGCCUCAAAUGACAUGGAAAACCUGUAUGGUUUAUGCCCCCAUGUUUGUCUGUUCCAGCAAAGUGUUUCAACAAUCUUAGGAAAGGUAUUGAAGGACAUGAUGUUUUCUAAACUGUCAAAAUAUUUGCUUAUAAAUUUUCAGUAGGUAUGGGUACUUAUUGCACUACACUCACCGCGUAAACCCUCAUGCUUGAUCUUGCAUGCAUCUGCUAGUUGACUUGAUCUGUGCCGAAGAGGAGUAAAUAGUUGAUGGUGAUAGUUUUUAAGCUAGGAGCUUGUAACAGCCACCAAAUGUUUGAACAUUAAUUUAUGCGGACUUAUUGAAACUAUAAGCUCUGGUUUCUGAAGUCUAGCUUACUGAAAUAUAAACAUAGAAUGCAAGGUUGAGCAAUCAGGCACACUUCUACUUCUAAAAUGUUUCUUUGUUGCCUUUUUUGCUAAAGAACUGGCAGAAUGUGACCACUGUUUCACAUAUACUCUCCCAAAUUUCUUUGGUUGUAUCUUCUGGAGUGUAAUAUGAGCUGAAUGAGCAGAAGAGCAUACUCCCCCCUCUGUGCUUUGAUGUUUGUUUUUGCAGGUAAGGGUGCAUGGACAUCAAGAGCACCAUGGGGAAGCCAAACAGAGGUGUUUAGGUGGCUGUGGCCGAGGCAUUUGCAAAUUGCAACCAUCUUUCAUACUAUUGUGGAAGUUUUGUGUCUAUGCAACUGAGCAAGAGAGAAGCUGCUCAGCGUUUUCUCUGAUUGUGUUUUCAGUGUCCACUGUCUACCAAAAUUGACAGAUCAGUGUGCUUUAGGUUGUGCAGCUGCUUUUUAAUUUAUCUAUGUUAUAUAACCAACCAGAACAAUGCUGUAUCUGUGAACUGUGGGUGUGGCCAACAGGAAUACUUCGAUCCAAUUUAAAAUUUGCUAUGGUGUAUUAACCUUUU